rnacentral:lncRNA from 1 species
AUUUGAGGCUUUACUCUGUACCCUUACCUUAAGUGGUCUAAAUAAAUUAUGUAAUUUAUUUUUCACAAAAACUCAAUAAAUAAUUUCUGUUAUUGUCCCUACUUUACAGGCAAGGACCAGAGAGAGAAAACAAGGUCACGCUGCUAGUAAGGUGUGGUUUCAGGAUUCAACUUCAGUAAAUCUAACUCCAAAACUGUGCCCUUUUCUGCUUUUUUGUAUAUUUUGCUACUGCUAUUUCAAACAUUGGCCUUCAAGUCUUAAAAGACCACCAGGAAAAUCCGUAACCAGGCAAUGGACUAUUUCAUAUAAUAGAGUUUCUUGCUCAUGUGUUUAAGGAAUGGCUUGGUCAGCUCUGAUAAAAGACUGCCACUGAGUUCAGGUAAUUUCACCUGUACCAAUUUUGGACUUUGGUUGAGGACAGCAGAUACAGGGAACAUUUACUUUUCAUGGAGGAAAUGGAAGUUCCUAGAGAGCUUCAGGAAAUGUUACAAGUUUAUUACUGUUGGAGGUGGGUCAAGAAACGGUCUCCUGCUCAAUACUCAGAACAGAUACAAGGUAGAGUUUGGGCGACAUUAA